CUCUAGGUGAAAUUUGUAUGCUUAAAGGUUUGUGGAUAUGGUCUUGAAUUUGUACCGUUUGGUUAUAUUAGUUCUUCAUAGUCUAAGAUGAUGAAUGUCAAAUUUGUAGUUGAAUAAUAUUUGUUCUUUUCGUUUGUGUCACUGUCUGAUCUUACAACUCAACUCUCCGUGGUGUAAUUGUCUUGCAUGUGCCUAGCUUGUGUUCUCUUAGUGGUUAACUUGUGUUUUUCCAUGUGUUCAAUCAUAUUUGCUUCAAAGAAUCCCAAAGUAAUAAUAGAUUUUUAUUUUUUGUUGCAGGCUGCCGCAUGGACUGACAAACAGUACAAAGAAUGGCAGCUCUUGAGGCAGAAAACAAAUUGAUGGACUUGGAGUAUAAUGAAGAUAAAGACUCCCAAAAAGAGGAAAAUGACAUUAGUGUCAAUGAACCUGCUCAGUCAACACAUACUCAAAUUCCAAAGAGACACACACACACACACUCCAUGAGCUUCACGAUCUCCACGAGCUCCACUAUCUCCACGAUCUCCACUAGCUCCACGAUAUCCACGAUCUCCAUGAUCUCCACGAGCUUCACGAUCUUCACGAGCUCCACGAGCUCCAAGAGCUAAACGGCCUAGACAGGAACGUAAAAAAACUUCCAAGUGUUGGCUACACUUUACAUCGGUAGGCGUAGAGUCUGAUGGUAAAGAAAGGGCUAAGUGUCACUACUGUGGUAUUAAGUUAGUUAUAGAUAGGACUCAUGGAACUUCAACAAUGAAUCGCCAUUCACGCUCUUGUCCAGAAAAACCUGAAAUCGAAGUUGUUGAAUAUGAUCCCAAAGUUGAUAAGGAAAUGGUUUCAGAGAUUAUAGUUUAUCAUGACCUUCCUUUUCACUAUGUAGAAUACGAAAAGGUUAGGGAGAGAGAUAAAUAUCUUAAUCCAGAAUGUGAGCCUAUAUGUAGACAAACCACAAGUAGGGAGGUGUAUAAAAGAUAUGAAAUAGAAAAGCCGAAGUUGAAAGAAGUGUUUGCAAGUUACCAAGGUCGAGUGUCUUUCACUUCUGACUUGUGGCCGAGUUGUAGCCAAGUGAGGGGUUAUAUCUGCCUCACUGCUCAUUAUAUUGAUGAGAAAUGGAAGCUACACAGUCACAUCUUGGCAUUUUGUGAUGUCAAACCCCCACAUACCGGUGAAGCAAUAGCCAAGAAGAUUUUUGAUAUUCUAAAGGAGUGGGGGUUAGAGCGAAGAGUGUUUUCCCUCACCUUAGAUAAUGCUUCUGCUAAUGAUAACAUGCAAAAGAUCCUUACUCAUCGUCUGCAGAGUGGGAAUGGAUUGUUGUGCGAUGGAAAGUUCCUCCAUGUAAGGUGAUGCGCCCACAUUUUGAAUCUGAUUGUCAAGAAAGGGUUAGAGUUAGGUUCUAGUCUUUUGGUGAACAUUAAGGAGAGCGUUAAGUAUGUGAAAGCUUCUUAUUCAAGGAAGGAUUCUUUUGCUACGUGUGUUGAGAGCGCUGGUAUUGAAAGCAGUGUUGGUUUGUCUUUGGAUGUGGACACAUGGUGGAACUCCACUUACGAGAUGUUGGUGAGAGCUCUCAAGUUUCGUAAAGCCUUUGAUAAUCUGCAUUUGUAUGAUAGAAACUACAAAUGUUUGCCUUCUGAAGAAGAGUGGGAUCAUGGUGAGAAGAUUCAAGACUUCUUAAACUCAUUUAGUACAAUCACAACAUGCUUCUCUAAAGUCCUACCCCACAGCCAGUGUUUAUUUCAUGCUAGUAUGGAAGAUCGGGUUGUUGUUGAGGUGGUAUGCAAUGUGUAAGGAUAAUGAGAUAAGAUUAAUGGCUGUGGAUAUGCAAAGUAAGUUUGCUAAAUACUAGGACGAGUACAGUCUUAUUUUAGCUAUGGCAGCAGUACUAGACCCCAAGGAUUAAGCUACAGAUGCUUAAGGAAGUUUAUCAUAAGCUGGAUCCUAGAACUUCUGAGAAGAAGGUUGAAGUCGUGAGGAAGAGCUUGGAGUUGCUUUAUAAAGAGUACAGUUCAAAGUCAUCAGAAAAUUCUUCCAGAAUUCCAAGAAAAACUCCACAAGAACUCCUUCCAGAGUCUCCUCUUGAAGAUGAUUUUGAUGAUGUAAGUAUCUGACAUAAAGUUCUUGUUUAUUUUGACCUCUUAAUAAUUUGCUAAUUGCUUCUUUAUCUUUGAUUUUGUUUGAAUAUAGGAUCUGCUUGAGCUUGAAAGGUGUAUCCAGUUUGGUUCAAACAAUGAAAGGACAAAUUUGGACAUGUAUUUGGCUGAUACUAAGGUUGAUAUUUCGGCUUUCUCGGAUAUGGAGGUGUUAGAGUACUGGAAAGAUAAGCAACACAGAUAUGGUGACUUAGCUUUGCUUGCCCAUGAUAUUCUUAGCAUCCCUAUAACUACUGUUGCGUCUGAGUCUGCGUUUAGUGUGGGAGGUCGGGUUUUGAGUCCUUUUAGAAAUCGUCUCCUCCCUAAAAAUGUCCAAGCAUUGAUCUGUACGCGAAACUGGCUACGCGGGUUUGUUGAGUUUGAAGGAGACAUUGAGGAGUACUUUGAUUAUGAUGAUGAGGAUGCUAAUAAAAGAGCAAGAAACUCAGGAAAUGAAGAUUCAAACAUGUGGUAACUUUCGUGCAUUUAGCUCUUUGUGUAACUUGUAGACAGCUUUAGCUCGUUUCAAAUUGAUAUAUUGAUACUGAA